rnacentral:misc_RNA from 1 species
GAAAUGCGAUAAGUAGUGUGAAUUGCAGAAUUCAGUGAAUCAUCGAAUCUUUGAACGCACAUUGCGCCCCUUGGUAUUCCAUGGGGCAUGCCUGUUCGAGCGUCAUUUGUACCUUCAAGCUUUGCUUGGUGUUGGGUGUUUGUCUCGCCUCUGCGUACAGACUCGCCUCAAAACAAUUGGCAGCCGGCGUAUUGAUUUCGGAGCGCAGUACAUCUCGCGCUUUGCACUCAUAACGACGACGUCCAAAAGUACAUUUUUACACUCUUGACCUCGGAUCAGGUAGGGAUACCCGCUGAACUUAAGC